GCAUUGGUGGUUCAGUGGUAGAAUUCUCACCUUUCAUAAAGGAGACCUGGGUUCGAUUCCCAGCCAAUGCA
rnacentral:tRNA from 1 species